rnacentral:rRNA from 1 species
GAUAAACGCUGGCGGCGUGCAUAACACAUGCAAGUCGAACGAUGAAGAUUAAAAGAUUUCUUCGGAAUGAACUUAAUUGGAUUAGUGGCGGACGGGUGAGUAACGCGUGAGUAACCUGCCUUGUACAAGGGGAUAGCCGUUGGAAACGACGAAUAAUACCCUAUGACAUCAAAUAAUCGCAUGAUAAUUUGAUCAAAGAUUUAUCGGUAUAAGAUGGACUCGCGUCUGAUUAGCUAGGUGGUAGAGUAAAAGCCUACCAAGGCAACGAUCAGUAGCCGGCUUGAGAGAGUGUACGGCCACAUUGGGACUGAGACACGGCCCAGACUCCUACGGGAGGCAGCAGUGGGGAAUUUUGCACAAUGGGGGAAACCCUGAUGCAGCGACGCCGCGUGAUUUAGAAGGCCUUCGGGUUGUAAAAAUCUUUUGUAUGGGAAGAAAAUGACAGUACCAUACGAAUAAGGACCGGCUAAUUACGUG